GCCAACCGAGCGCGUUAAUAGCCGCUGUUAUUUUGACAGAAUAUGAUACCUCUACACUUUUCAGCCGUAAUACAUAAUGCGCGCAUUGUAAAUUUGUAAUCAUAUGCAUAUCGUUUAAUUUAGUUUCAAAAACUUGAUAAAAUCAAAAUUGCUGUAUUUAGUUAAAUGUAAAAUGCGCAGGAUGUUGCGUACAUUAACAAAGAAAAAAAGUUGAUUACAAUGCGCGCUGAAAAUUACGGCUGAAAAGUGUAGAGCCUAGAGGUAUCAUAUUCUGUCAAAAUAACAGCGGCUAGCCGGUUGGC